rnacentral:misc_RNA from 1 species
ACGUUGGGGUUGUCAAAAAAUAGUAGAAAUAGUACUGUUUUAAACUUCCAAACCACAAAAGGCACAAGAAUCAAAGAGCUAUAAACCAGGUAACUUAUCACUAUCCAAGAAGAGGCCGUCAGAAGUGCUCAGAAAAGAAAUGGACGGCGCAUGUGCUCUGACGCGCCGGUGCGUGAAACUGCAUUAAUCCUUCUGUAGGCGCGUGCGGCUCACGCGUGGCUCCACUGGUGACAGGACCUCCGGGAGGCUAGUCGUCGGCGACCUAGCUAGCAUUUGGAGUGGGAGGUGAGACAAGAUGGUUACCCUUGUUGGUGACCCAAUUCUCCAAUAGCCAAAAACAUAGAGAA